rnacentral:rRNA from 1 species
GAGAUUUGAGAGGGGCUGCUCCUAGUACGAGAGGACCGGAGUGGACGAACCUCUGGUGUUCCGGUUGUCACGCCAGUGGCAUUGCCGGGUAGCUAUGUUCGGAAGAGAUAACCGCUGAAAGCAUCUAAGCGGGAAACUUGCCUCAAGAUGAGAUCUCACUGGAGCCUUGAGCUUCCUGAAGGGCCGUCGAAGACUACGACGUUGAUAGGUCGGGUGUGUAAGCGCUGUGAGGCGUUGAGCUAACCGAUACUAAUUGCCCGUGAGGCUUGACCAUAUAACACCCAAACA